CAGAGACUGCAAGCGUUAUUCGGAUUCACUGGGCGUAAAGGGUGCGCAGGCGGCCAUGUGUGUGAGGCGUGAAAGCCCGGGGCUUAACCCCGGAAUUGCACCUCAAACUACAUGGCUAGAGCAUUGGAGAGGGUAGCAGAAUUCAUGGUGUAGCAGUGAAAUGCGUAGAUAUCAUGAGGAAUACCAGAGGCGAAGGCGGCUACCUGGACAAUUGCUGACGCUCAGGCACGAAAGCGUGGGGAGCAAAAGGGAUUAGAUACCCCUGUAGUCCACGCCCUAAACGGUGCACACUAGGUCUUGGCGGAUUCGACCCCCCCAGGGCCCAAGCUAACGCGUUAAGUGUGCCGCCUGAGGACUACGGCCGCAAGGCUA
rnacentral:rRNA from 1 species